CGCAAACAGAUCAGCUGCAAAGUGCUACAGCUUCUACUAUUACCACUGACAGUGGAGGCCCGCUUAUCUUUUCCAAACUUCUCGCAAGUGAUGUUUAAGUGCCUGCAAGCCAAUAUCAUACAAAGUCUGGAAGCCUGGCAACAACCGCUUCUCACAGUAAUGUAAGUUGAGUUACUAAACUACUGGACCUCACAUCAAACUGGCUGAAGAAUAUUUUGCUUUACCGAUUCGACGAGGGAGGAUGUGGAAAAUGUGGUUGUGUUCACCUCUGGCAGAAGGACAACGGCAAAGAGUUGCUCUAGUAAUAAAAAGCUGUACUUCUUCAUAAAAGUUACAUGCCUGUCAAGGAGUGCAAGGCAUUCCCCCACUUUCUUCUCUGUGAUACUGGGAGGAAUAUUGGUUGGAAAGCAGAAGUGGUAGCCUUGGUUAAAGGCAUGAAAAUGACCUUCAGAUGACUUCAUUAGCAAGUGAUGAUUAUGCUCAAAUGUCCUUUGAGAUGGUGUAAAGAUAUGUAACAUAAAUACUAAAAUUGGUAUGGAUGGAAAGGCCUGUCUGACAGCACCAAAAGAAACAAUGGAGUGAAAUAACAAAGCUACAUCACCAUGGAAGUGCCAUUCUUCUCCCUGCUAUCUCAACAUUAAGACAGACCAUCAUCAUAAAGAUAUGUGACAUGAAGAAGCAAACAGAAGGGGCAUCAGCCUUGCUGAAGAGUCACAGAGGCAAGAAUAUUGCUCCAUAGUAACUGUUGACUCCUAAAGGUUAUACAAACCUGUCCUAACCUGGUUUAUUGUCAUCUAAGAGGAAUUCAAGAAAUGUAGUGACAACCUGACAGCUACUUGCUAUUGCCAUCCAUAUCACGUACAGGUGGUCCUGGUAAAACUGCUUGGGCAUGCACGUGUCUCAGUGCUUCCAAGUACGUGGGCAUGAAGCUGUGAAUGGGUAAACCGACUCACACAGAGGACUGUAAACUAAAAUCAUGUUCUACCAGCAUAAGGUCUUGUAUUGCCUUUCUGGCACCAAUAACCUGCAAGGACAAGUACCUCCCAUUGUGUAACGCUAUGUUAUGGACGUAGUUAAUGGGUUUGCCUUUCUCUUGAGCAGAGUGGUUCACAAAUCCCAAUUCUGUUUGCCCAACGCUCUGCUCAGUAAUUUCAAAAUCGGUAAUUAGGGGAGGACGUUGGAGGAUUUCCAAUAUAUAGCAAGGCAAGCUUAAUUAAUGGUUUUAAAAGUGGAAUCUGUUAAUCACGGACGGAAAUCUAUGUCAUGACUGCUUAGCGCAGAGUAAGAGUUGUCUCUGACAACUCUGUUGAUCCCUUGCAAAUCAAUAUUCUGAACUGAAGUGACCAGUUUGGAUGAUAUUAUCAUACAGCUGCACAUGGCAAAAUGGCUCUAUGAACAGCUGAGGACAUGAAUUCCUGUUCUAGCUUCUGCUAGGCCAGACAGCUUCAGUUAAGAGUUUCAUUACAACUAGAGAUAAGCAUUCUUCUGUGAACAUUAAUUUAAAGGUAAUAUUCAGUAAAGCAGACCACAGGAGAGUGUGGUCAGAAAUGACACAGCCACUCUGUGUAACUCAGUGGUCCAGAAGGAACAGGGAUGACAUGAUCACAGCACUCACUCUGGUGAUAACCCUUACAGAUGAAAGCCAUGAUAGUCUAUAUUUAAGAUGACAAAAUUGCAACUGAUAUAGCUUAUGGGAAGUAUAAAUCCCGCAUUUUUAAGCUAAUUCUUCAUUUCAUUUAUCUUUGCUUUGUCAAAACAAGCAGUAAUUCCAUCUGAUGUCUAUGAGUAAAACACCACCUAAUAAACCUUAAUGAACACUGCUGAAGGAUGUAGAGUCCCUGGAUAUAGCUGAAACUCCCUGCCAGAACAGAGGGAAGGGUCCUUACUGGAAGGGAUACAGAGAAGAAGAAAAGACCAGGAGAAAAUGAACUAUGAAUGUUGACAACAUGACAGAUAGCAUCUGCAGUGGUUAUUGUUAGCCUCCACACACAUUCCCAGGACAGUUACUCCCUCUUGCAGUGUCAGCCACAGAUAACCUUUGAUGGCUUAAAGGGUACCAAACAAGAUGUUUAGGGAAAAUACACUGAUUACAUCUGUCCCUUGCUUCACCUUCCUGCUACGCUGCUCUCUUCCCUCUACUUGCUAUCUAAAUGCUGGUAGGAAACAUUGCUAUCUUUCAUUGUGCAGUACUGUAUUGUGGACUUAUAUAAUGGGUUUGCCUUUUUCUUGAAAUUCUCUCUGAGUUUGUUCUCAUUGUUCAACCUUCAGCAAAGAAACUGUAGCGAAGGACAUCACAAGAGAUGACAUAUUUAUCUAUAGGAGCUCUGUUUCUUCCUCAUUCCUUUCCUUGUUCCUUCCACCUCUCUUUUUAGGGAGAAACAGACAGUUCUGGUGGAAAGCAAUGCAUACAUACAGAGAUUUAAUUUCUUAGAAAAAUCUAGGAAUGUAGCCACAGAAUGACACAGCACUUGCUGGUAUAUUGCCACACAUUGCCCUAUCUUACUUGGAACAGGGCUUCCUAUAGGCUUAAAUUUAUAUAUCUGUGUAAACAACACAUUUAAAGCCACUAUCAGUUCCUUAGAAAAAUACUUUACAAAUGCAAUGUUUUUUCAAGGAUUCCAGUGUAUAAAAAUUGUUCUAUUUUCUUGACAUCACAUUUUGGAUUCUAUUUAGGAAUGAAUUACAAGUGUGACUUGAUAUCUGUAAUGUGGUUCAGUACUCUUCUAUCCCCUCAUAGGAUAGUGAUAUCCUAUAGUGAGUAUAGUGAGAUAUAUAUAGAGAGAUAUCCUAUAGUGAGAUAUAUAUAGAGAGAUAUCCUAUAGGAUAGUGAGGAUCUAUGUUUUUACCUUUCAGCAUGAUUAUCUUAUCUUGCUGUUGUUUUUAACCACCUAUCUUGUUACUUAUUUAUAUUAUAUUACAAAGCCUUUGUUGAAUAAGAGCACCUGCGAUUUGCAGUGACAGGUAAAAAUAUAUAUAUAUAUAUAUAUUGCACUUAUAUCAAGCAGUCCCAAUGCCACCUGUGAUUAUUCUGUAACACUUUCCAUGACAUUUCAUACAUAUUUAAGCCCUAAGACAAGGGAUGCUGUGGUUACCAGUACCAGUCAACAUAAAUUCUGAGGGAUGCACUGGGUCUCACCUGUUUGGGGCCCUCACUUUCCCCGUGGCUGAUUUUGAGAGGGAGAAUCAUUACUACUUAACAACUCAUGGCAAAUUCUUCCUUUCCCUCUCCUAUUGCCUGUGUAAAUGGAGGCAGGAGAGUAUUUUCAUAUUUCUGCCUGCCAACUCAUUUCUUUGCAUUCAAAAUGUUACCAGAAUAUUUAUCUUCUGAAGCAUCCGGUAGGAGCUGAAAAUGUUCUAGGUAUUAAUAAAAUGCUUAAAAGAUCAGUAGCGUACUGCCCCUAGAAAUUUCCACUGAGAAAGCAAGGGGAGGAGACACUGAUGAAUGACUCUAGGCCACCCAUGGAAAAGAGGGAAAAGUGUUUCCAAAUGCACUGUUAAGCCUGUAUGAUAUAUAUUUUUUUAUUCUAAACGUCCUCUGAGACGGAAUUUCUGACCUUCACCAUCUUUAACUGUUGUUUUCUUCUUUUUUUCCCACAUGAACACUGCUAAAUCUGUGCCACUGUCAAAAUGCUGAGUAAGCGUUUGAAAUGUGUCUUCGAUGCACCAUUUCAGUUAGUGCUUUAAAUGCUCGCUGUGCAUUUAAAAACUUUGUCCUGGAAUAGGUGCAAUUUCACUGCAGAUACUGAGCAAACCAUAAUGUUGCUACCUAAACAAAUGCCACUGGGGCAUUGCAGAAGACAGAAUAUCAUCAUAUCUAAGAAAUAAAACCAAAGACCACUUGAAACUCUAUCAAAAGGCUGUAUUGCUUUCAAAAAUAUAUAAAAGAAACAGGAUAAUUUUCUACAUUAACAAGCAGCAUCGUGCAAUAGGAGUGGAUCUCUAGAUUGGUUUUCAGGACUUUAACUCUAUACUAAACAUACGUAUUUGUUUUGCCUCUUACUUUUACUGUAG
ensembl:lncRNA